rnacentral:rRNA from 1 species
AACGAACGCUGGCGGCAUGCCUAACACAUGCAAGUCGAACGAGACCUUCGGGUCUAGUGGCGCACGGGUGCGUAACGUGUGGGAACCUGCCCUUAGGUUCGGAAUAACUCCCCGAAAGGGGUGCUAAUACCGGAUAAUGUCUUCGGACCAAAGAUUUAUCGCCUUUGGAUGGGCCCGCGUUGGAUUAGCUAGUUGGUAGGGUAAAAGCCUACCAAGGCGACGAUCCAUAGCUGGUCUGAGAGGAUGAUCAGCCACACUGGGACUGAGACACGGCCCAGACUCCUACGGGAGGCAGCAGUGGGGAAUAUUGGACAAUGGGCGAAAGCCUGAUCCAGCAAUGCCGCGUGAGUGAUGAAGGCCUUAGGGUUGUAAAGCUCUUUUACCCGGGAUGAUAAUGACAGUACCGGGAGAAUAAGCUCCGGCUAACUCCGU